CAACAAACUCCUAGGGUAGCCUCGGACCAGCACCUGAAUUCUUCAUCCAUGCCAGAGAGGCCCAGGACAGUGCUCCCAACCAUGAAGAGUAAGGCGCAAAAUGAGAAUACUGCGCAGUACAGCAUGAGAAACCAAGAGAAUUACUCAGCAAUUGGAAGUGACCCAGACCCAGGAGACUGACCAGCCCAUGCCACAUCUGUCCAGCCCAGGGGCCAAGGGAAUUGGAAUCCCACACUCCAGAACCAGUCAUGGUCUACCGGUGUGUUGCAGCAUGUUAUUGGCCGCCUCUGGCCUGGAAUUGUUCCAGCACAUAGAGGAUCCCCAUCAAAUAUUUUUUCCCUUAUGAAUGGAAUAAAAGGAAGAAGGUGAUCUCUUCUGGAAACUAAAGAUGGAAAGAGUUGGACGGGUUGGAAGGGGUGAGCAGAACGGGAGCCAUGAGCCAGUCAAGUGCAUCCCAGCUCUCACAGACUUCUCUUGCUGAAUCCAUACUGGACGCUCUUGGCCUAGCCAACACCUGCCCGCUGAGGGCCAGCUCCCAUCCAACCCGACCCACCUCCUCCAUGAAGCCUCUCUGACUGCUGACCUGAAGUCUUCUGUGCUUAACACCUAACUACCUCUGGUGGCCCCUUUUGUUUUAAGUAGCCUUCGUGCCUAGUGUGGAGCCCAAUGCAGGGUUUGAACUCACAACCCUGAGAUCAAGACCUGACCAGAGACCAAGAGUUGGACACCUAACUGACUGAAGCACCCAGGCACCCCUCAUGUGGCCCUUUUCAGAAGGCUGCCUUUUGACAUCUCUCUCCUAUUGUGAACAGCAGGCCAAAGCCCACAUGCUGUUUGUAGUUUGCCAGGCCUGUGUCUCAAGUCCCUGCCUCAUCCUCACCCUCCUUGAGGAAGAGGCCGCCUCGCCCUUCUGUGUUCACCCAGUGCACAGUGAGCACCUUCUGGCCAUGCAAAUUCUUUGGGACCUGCUUGGUGACUUGGAGUUGAGCUCUGCUGCCUGCAGGCACUGGGAGUGAGCCUGCCAUGGGGUAGGCAUGGGGCUAAGUGUGCUGGAUGGGGCCGGUAUGGAGCAGUGGAGACCAGAUGGUGAGAGAGCGCACUGAGAAGGAGAGAAAAGAAAGCCAUCAGACCGACAGCACCUGUUGUUGUUAGAGCAGUGUGAGGACCCACAUCCAACCAGCUGGCUGUCUCUGCUCCUUGCUCUUGUCACAACCUUCCAGAAGAGAUACGGACACUCAGAAUUGUCCCCAUUCUCCCUUCUCUUUGUUUCCAGUGCUGGUAGUGGUCAGUGUUUGGUGCAGAUAAAAUGAUACAGCGAUACUGCUGAUGGGGGCAAUUUAUCUUGCCCUUAACAUCCAAGAGAGUAAAGGAUAAGGAUCUGAUAGGCUAGUAGUAGGUUGAAAGGUGACCGUAAGCCUGUGAGUGAGGGUCACCAACACAUAAGCCCAUGUGGGUGCCCGAGCAAGAAGGUAAUGUUCAUGCCGUGGGUUCAGGAAGGACUCUCACGGACCUAAGAUGGGUUAGAAAUGCACUGCACUCCUGAGUCUGGUUCUGGGCUCCCACAGGGGACACUGGCACUUAGAGAGAGGUCAGAGGGUAGCCUCGAAGGUGAUGAGCAGGACGGGCAGCAGGGCCUGGGAGAAAAAGAGGCUGGGAUUAUUCAUCAGGGGAAGACAGGCAGGCAGGAUUUAACACAAUCUUCAGGUAUCAGAAGAGCUCUCAGGCAGUGCAGGCUAAGUCUUGGCAGUGGCUACUGAAGAUGGAACAAGGAAAGAAACUUAAUCCACAGCAUAAGGGAUUUAGGAUAGAAUUUCCUGAUGGUGAAGGUUGUUAAAAGUUGCAAUGAAUGGUCUAGAGAGAGAUUCUGGUCUACUCUGGAAGCUUUUACAAGUAGAAGAGAUUAUCCUCUGGCAGGGCAGCUUAUCUCUAAUCCUGCCUGAAGGCAGGGGAAUGGACACAAUGACCUCAGGGUCUCCUUCAGACUUGGAAAGCAGGUCUUCCCAUUGGCAGACCAGCCAACACUGCUAUGCAGGUGAUGCACUUCAAGGAAGGCCCAGAGUGUUCCCAGAAAUAAAGAGAAGCUGCCUGAUGUGAGAUCUUCUUUCCUUUUUCUUAUUUUUUAGCCACAGCUGCCUUGCAGCAAUGACCAAGUUCCUCUGUAAUCUCAGCUCUGAUCAAGGGCAAUUUAAACAAGAAAGCCAAAAGCAGCCACAGACCACACAGAGAUAGAUGACUCUCUGCUCUGCAAAGCACCCCAGACAACAGAGCCGUGGUUGUGGUCUUCUCCACGGAGGGCUCUGCGUUUAACAAGCCAUGUGAAAACCUUGCUGACCCAGCCAGGUAGCAGCAAUGGGAAACGUGAGGGCAUUCCCAGCCUGCUGCUGCCAGCCAUCAUGCUCAAGCCGCCUGUGCUGCAGUCCCACUUCCUGUGAGUCAAGUGACACGGCUUUCGGGAAUACCACCUGCCCCCAGCUGUUCAGCAUGGGGGUCAGGGGAGAAAGGAAAUGGUCUUAUACCUGACCUGGGAGACAGCUCUGUGAGCCAUGAUACACACUGAGAGCAUUAACAGGUAUGCAGACAGCCCUCUGGACACCCUCUGAAGGCUUCCGGGCUUGUGCUGAGCUCAGAGGAAGAGGAAGAGUAGGGCAGAGAGCACCAAAAAUCUUCUGAAGUGGUUUUCAAAAGUGCUGCCCAGGUAUGUGAACAUCUCUACACAGGCCAUGGCUGAGUCAAUGUUUUCUGUAAACUGAAAAGACAAAGAAGGGAUGUCCUUUGGCUUUCUGGAACCUGGGGCCUGGCUUGGAGCAGUGUUCAACCAGAUACGGUGGAAAGCUGGGUUCACACUGCAUGCCAGUGGGCACCUCCCCGCUCCAUGGAAUGUCUGUGGCUACUUUUAUCUUCGGAGAAGAACAGGUGGGAAAAUAAAGUUAAAGGCACUUUUUACCCUGCUCUCCAGGAAUGAGCUCCAGGCCUCAGGCCUGUGAUUGUGGGAACACACGUUUCCACCACAGGGAAGGAGAAAAUCAGCCUGAUAUGCACAUGACAUGCCAUGACAUCCUAAGCGUGAUUAGGUCCCUGACUGCAUGGGAAAUGAAACCACAGGCAUUUAAUAGAGGACCUGCAGCCAGGCCAUCCAGUCCCUUCUGCAGCACACAAGCUGGGCACCCACUUCUCUGUCCUCAGGCACACCUGUUGUGAGCAUUGAAGAGCACCGAGGAGCACUGAGGAGCACUGGGGAACCCUGCAGAAUGAGAAACUCAACUGCUCUCCCAGGGAGGAUUUGCAUGGGCAGCAGGCGCUGGUCCGUAACAACCAAAACCCUGGGUUUCCCCAAAGAUUCUAUCCCUGAACAGAGACAACAUGUCCCAGGAGAAAUGGAAGUAUGUGGAGAGAGGAAGAGGAGAAAAACAGAAGUAAUGGAAAGAGUGACAAACAGCUAGUCUUGUUUGCUGGACUGGUUACUACUGAGCUGUUUGCCAUUUGGCCCCAUGUAUUUUUAAAGCAUACAGUUAAGGAGCAUUUAUUAAAAUGUUUUCAAGUUGUCCUUCUAAAGAAGAGACCCUGACAGGCCACUCAGUAUACUGCAAAGGUGGGUUAAAUACUAUUAUCCCUGUGGCGACGAUGGGGAGACAAGAGUAUAAUGGAUUACCUUAAUUUCCCAGAGACAUGCGGUGAAUUCAUUACGGGGAGGAAAAACGGAAAAGAAAAAGACAAUCAGAUUACAGAGUCUUGAAGCUGGGCCGCCUUGCCAAGAAAGCCAACCAGUGUGAGGGAAGGAGAGACAGCCCCAAACCCCCAAGGGUGCUGCUCCAAAAUGCAGUCCUUAGAAACACAGCCGCCUUUGGGAAGCUCCAAAUUCAAAUGUGCAACAGAAACAAAUUCACCACACACAAACCGUGAGGCCUCAGCAAUCUGCCUCGCACCGCAGAUUGGGAGAGGAAGAAAAAAUAAUCCAGAUCCUAAUUUAGUUCAGGGGCUUGUUUUCUUACACUGACAAAUCCUUCUAAAAAUGAUUUCCUGAUUAGAGUCAAACGGCCGAGGCCAAAACUCUCGGAGAUUGUGUUGCCGUCAGCAUAUUAAUGGUGUUCCUUAGCAACUCUCUCUCUCCUCCACUUUUAGAAGAAACAACACCUCUGCCAGGACCACAAAGCUGGAGAAGCCUCAGCACCUCUGAUGAUUCAUGGGCUUGGAGGAAGGUGCGGACCUGCCAGGCAGCAUGAGGGGGGAGCCUUGCUGGUGGCAGGACAUGGGCAGCGAAUGCCAAGUCAGGUGCAGGGCCGUGCAGGGAGACGGUGGGAGAGGACGGGCGAGGGGCCACCUCUCUCUGUGUCUCUCCAGGAUUGCAACUGUCAUCUGCAAUUUACCAACUUGAAAUACAAAUCCUGCUCCUCACAAAGAGCUGAUGUCUUUUUCUCACCAGACUUAAAGGUGCAAAAAACGCUAAAGAGAGGUCAAGUCAGUGAUGACUAAGGAAAGGGGUUUCCUGAACUGAUUCUGUUUUUAUAAUAAAUUCUGGAAUUUUCAGAAUCGCCUUGGAAGGAAAUGAAAGUCAAGACUUCAUUCAUCCAUCGAUUAAACAUUUAUUAUGCAUCAACAGUAUGCCACGUGUUAUCCUUUGUGCACUAUCAGUGAGCAGUGAGCACUACCGGUGAGCCCAAACGCUGGAGGGAUCAUCAACUCCAACAAUCUCAUUUUCUAGAUGAGCAAACUGAGGCCUCGUGGGGUCAGCCUCCCUGAGACAUGUGUGAUUUAUUGACAGAUCUAGAGCAUGAAUCCAAGUAUUUCCACCAUGACUACUAAUUCUCAGACCAGAUGCUUCUAAACCGGACUUGGAUAGUCUCACUUUGAGAAGGGGAGAAGUGAAAUUCAAUUUGCCAAUAUUCCCAUCCUUGGAGGAAGUGAUAUUCAUCAUAAGCCAAAACAUAUUGGCCUCCAGUGGAUUGGAUGAUGCUGACCCACACUGGUGAGGCUCCAGAAUGAAAUGAUCUCCUCUGCACUACGGGAAGAAGAAGAAUGCCAACCUCACAGAGUUGUGUGUCACUUCAGCAGCACAAGAGAGCCGAAGCAAUUAGCAUAUCUCUGGCACACAGUGAGCACUUAGUAGCUGGUGCCUAUCACUUCUGUUACAAGGAUCACAGACUGUGGGGAUGGAAGCACUGGUGACAGCAACAUGAGGAAGAAUUUCCUAGAAGUAUUGAGGGCUGCUCACUCAUGGAAGCUACUACAUGGGCAGUAAGCCCUGCCCAGGGGCUGGCUGGUCAUCUCUCGGUCAAGAAUGUCAGGAAAAGUCCUGUACCAGGUGAUAGUUGGUUGAUAGCACCAGUUCAUUAAAAAUCCACAGUUCUGGGCAAAUCCAGCCUUCUUUUUAACAAUUAUGGGAAGGCCCAGAAAUUUGUGUUUUAAUAAGCAUUUCAAGUGAUUUUUAUGUAGCUGAUCAAACAGGGUUCUGAUUACCUAAGUUGGAGAACCACCUGUAUAAAUAAAGUUUAUGGUCCCUUCCAAAUUCUGGGGCUCUAGGCAUCCUUCACCCAUCCAGAACAGUGUCAUAGAAAAUAAUACAAGUUGAUAAAUUCAGAAGGAUUGGG